rnacentral:rRNA from 1 species
AGCAGCCGCGGUAAUUCCAGCUCCAAUAGCGUAUAUUAAAGUUGUUGCAGUUAAAAAGCUCGUAGUUGAAUUUCGGGGUUCAUCCGUUGGUCGGGCUUUUUGGUCUGUACUGGCGUGAUGGAUUCCUACCUUCUGAAUAACCGGCAUGCCAUUAAUUUGGUGCGCCGGGGAAGCAGGACUGUUACCUUGAAAAAAUUAGAGUGCUUAAAGCAGGCUUAUGCCUGAAUACAUUAGCAUGGAAUAAUGAAAUAGGACGGCAUGGUUCUAUUUUGUUGGUUUCUAGGAUCACCGUAAUGAUUAAUAGGGAUAGUUGGGGGCAUUAGUAUUCAAUUGUCAGAGGUGAAAUUCUUGGAUUUAUUGAAGACUAACUUCUGCGAAAGCAUUUGCCAAGGAUGUUUUCAUUAAUCAAGAACGAAAGUUAGGGGAUCGAAGACGAUCAGAUACCGUCGUAGUCUUAACCAUAAACUAUGCCGACUAGGGAUCGGACGAUGUUAAUUUUUUAAUGACUCGUUCAGCGCCU